CACAGACCUGGGCGGACUUAGCAGCUCCUUGCCUGUCCCAGUGUCAGCACACCACUAGCAGAAGGGAGCACCAGCCAGAGAUUGCACCCACCAUUCCCAGUGCACAGACGGCCCACACUGCCAGGUUGCACCGAUGAUGAACUCAAAGUGAACAUAGAUUAUUAAGCGGUCCCAGGGAGGAUGGUGCAGUAGAGAAAUAGCGGAGAGACACAGAUGAGGACAAGGCUGGAGAGACACAGACAAUGAUGAGGCAGGAGAGACACAGGGAUAUAAGACUGGAGAGACACAGGUACUGUGCCCCUCAGAAACUGCUCGGCUCCACCUUCAGCUUGACAGUGCCCGCUGCUGCAAGUGCCGGAACACACUAGGUCAGACUGUCAGGAAGCUCUGCUGCUGGGGGCCUGAUAGUGCUGCUGCUUCAUUGCCUGUCCACUGAUCUCUUCAGGGACCCAAGUAACAAACGUUGCACUGGUCUGCUCCCUCAGAUUGCCGACUGAUCCACCUCAGACCAUUGCGCUGCUCCAACUGCCACCAACGGUCAGUGGGGACACACUUUCAAAGGGUAUCACAUUAGGAAUAGAGGGUUGAGUACUCACAGGAAAGCAGCUGCUUGGACCUGGAAGAAGACGGUGAAGCCGGUUCUUCCACCAGGAGAUGGUACACGCCAAAUUGCCUGUCUCUUAGAACCUUUGGUGCACCAGUCUUUUCAAGAAAUUUUGGACUGAUUUGAAGUAGAGAUGUGCGGUUUCCAGAAAUCCGAAUCCAUCCAAACUUUGUGUAUCCGAACCAAACAAAAGCCCCGUCCGGAUCUCCUGUGGAGAUCUGAUCCGAAAAGAGUCCCGGUUCAGAUCUUACCACAGCUCAAAAUUCACAUUUCAAAUUUGAAUUUCAGGUUUUGGAUUGCAUUAAAUUACAUGAUUUUUGAGGUUUUUAUCAAUUUUUUUAUGAUUAUAGAUUUAUUUAUCGUUUUUUAACCGAACCAAAUAUCGAAACCGAACCAAAAC